AUGAAGUUUAAUAGUUUAUGGUGCAACCCUCUUGAGAGUCACAUUCUUUAUCGCGCAAAUGUUGUUUCUGUUCCGAAACUGUCUUCAGAAAAUUUUUUAGGGGGCUGACAUUUCUCUUGAAUGUAUAAUUUGAUGGAGAUAACAACCUUAAGAUUUUGCAUGUUAUGAUGUUACUGGGGUUGCGAAAAGGAGGAUGUUGAGAUUUUGGCUUUUGGCUUUUGGCUUUCGUCAUGAUUAAUAACUAAUAAAUUGUUGUCUAAAGUCUCUCUCCAAAGGGCCCUUGGCCUUUGCCUUUCCUUUUCCCUUUCUUUUAACUGCAAUAUUAUUUGAAGGUUCCACACAAUGGCUGAAGUGAAGAGACGGGAUAAAAAGGUUGAGCUACACUCUUCAUGUCAAGUUUCCUGUGAGUGUGAUCGAAAUGAAGCACUGCACGGUGUGCAGCACGCUCGAUGUUUGAGAGUAUGACUGGUCCCGCCCACAUAGGAACUGGAGCAUGCUAGAAAGAAUCCAGAUAAAAGCAGCCACCUGUCAAGAAGAACAAUGCAGCCACUUGGCAUAAUUCGGCCAAUUCCGAGUAUUACAUGAAUCACAUUUCUAGAUGCCGCGUGCCGCGUGUAGUACCUUGUCACCUUCACAGCUUCACUCUCAUUUUGAUCUCACCUUGUCCUUUAAUUAGAUUUUGAAAGAAUAUAAAUCUUCUCUUGGUUGUUUCUUAUAGGUGACAAACGUCAAGAACCUACUGGUGCAAAAGAUGGUGAAAGGUGGGUCAGUUAAAAUAUUUAUUUAUAUUGUGCAAAUUUACUUAGAUAGAUUUACCAUAACUGAGGUUUGUAGCAUUUGCGAGAGUGGUUUGUUUAAGGUGUUGUAAGAAAUCUGGCAUUUUGUUCUCUGUCGAUAUUUUCUUUCUGCUGUCUAGUAGGGGAUGCCCUUUGCCCUCUCGACACCUCAUAUUAGCUCUAACAUCAUGUAAUAUAUCUGCAGGACCAAGGAAACAGAGACAGAGGAAGCAAAACCAGUGCCAGAGUGAGUUUGAUGACCUCUUGAUUUUAUCUUUUAUUUUCUCACAGAACCAAAAAAUAUACCAAAUGUUUUUAAGUCAUUUCCACAAUUUACCAUGAAUUCACUACACUAGCUUGGCAAAGCAAUAUCUUAAAUUUAGACCUUACUUUCAGGUAUUCGGAGCCAACAGGAUCUGGCAAAUCCUUCAGGCCAGGGACGUGGCAACCACCAACAUGAUAACUGUGACACCGCAACAGACUCCACUGAUACCAUCCUGUCGCCCUCACCAUGAAGCUUCGGGCUCAAUUAACACCUUAACCGGAUUCAGCUUUUCUGAUGAAAUGCAUCAUUGUCCAAUGAAGUUUAAUAGUUUAUGGUGCAACCCUCUUGAGAGUCACAUUCUUUAUCGCGCAAAUGUUGUUUCUGUUCCGAAACUGUCUUCAGAAAAUUUUUUAGGGGGCUGACAUUUCUCUUGAAUGUAUAAUUUGAUGGAGAUAACAACCUUAAGAUUUUGCAUGUUAUGAUGUUACUGGGGUUGCGAAAAGGAGGAUGUUGAGAUUUUGGCUUUUGGCUUUUGGCUUUCGUCAUGAUUAAUAACUAAUAAAUUGUUGUCUAAA
rnacentral:lncRNA from 1 species